AUUGAACGCUGGCGGCAUGCCUUACACAUGCAAGUCGAACGGUAACGGGUCCUUCGGGAUGCCGACGAGUGGCGAACGGGUGAGUAAUAUAUCGGAACGUGCCCAGUAGUGGGGGAUAACUGCUCGAAAGAGCAGCUAAUACCGCAUACGACCCGGGGGGGAAGGGGGGGGAUCGCAAGACCUCUCGCUAUGGGAGCGGCCGAUAUCAGAUUAGCUAGUUGGUGGGGUAAAGGCCUACCAAGGCAACGAUCUGUAGUGGGUCUGAGAGGACGACCAGCCACACUGUGACUGAGACACGGCCCAGACUCCGACGGGAGGCAGCAGUGGGGAAUUUUGGACAAUGGGCGCAAGCCUGAUCCAGCAAUGCCGCGUGCAGGAAGAAGGCCUUCGGGUUGUAAACUGCUUUUGUCAGGGAAGAAAUCUUCUGGGCUAAUACCCCGGGAGGAUGACGGUACCUGAAGAAUAAGCACCGGCUAACUACGUGCCAGCCGCCGCAGUAA
rnacentral:rRNA from 1 species